AGAGCGCUUAUCAGGUGGGGAAGCCCCAGGCCAUUUUACCACAAUAAGUGAUCACACACACCACUCCCGAAGAAGAGCGGGGGCCUGGGCAGAGACCUCUAAAAGCACAAGCAAAAAAACCCCCAAACCCCGAAAUGCACAGCCUGCAGAUCAUAACACCCAAGGAUGGAAGACCGACGGGACAGAACAGAAGGGUACGAUCCCUCAGAGGAAAACAAGGCACAUACCUCUGCGAGAGUCAGGUGUAAAAAGACUAGGAUGCACACCCCCAAAACAGUGCAACAGAUGUGGAAGG